AUGCCCUGUGCUGGGUGGUCUGGGGACUUAUCCUACUUCCUAUCUCAUUUGCCUGCAAACGCCUUCACCUUGUCAGGGCCAAUAAUUAUCCAGUCGGUGAUGCUCAGAGCUGCCAUUCCUUAAGAUUGGAUUAGAUUGAAGAGGCUGAGGUGUUUGCUUACAAUCUGGCUGCAUCAACAGCCUCCGGUUCUGCUCGCUCUGAGACAGUCAUGAGAAAUUUGGGGAAGCGGCAACAGCAGCUUGAAAAACCCACAGAGGUGUGGGUGGACUUAUUUUGUAAAUCUGCAACAUAAGAUGUCCCUGAUGACAUUCUCUUAUUGAAAAACUGAAUUUUAUCAGUCUCCUUCAGUUGCUUCCGAGAUAUAAGGACAGAAAGCAGGCAGACUCAGCUACAAAUGACCACAUCAUUUCCUGGGGCCUUGAAGGGUUAAUAGUAAUUUACAGUAGCAUUCAUCAGAAUAAAACCAUAUA